GACGGGGGCCCGCACAAGCAGUGGAGUAUGUGGUUUAAUUCGAAGCAACGCGAAGAACCUUACCAGGGUUUGACAUCCUACUAACGAAGCAGAGAUGCAUUAGGUGCCCUUCGGGGAAAGUAGAGACAGGUGGUGCAUGGUUGUCGUCAGCUCGUGUCGUGAGAUGUUGGGUUAAGUCCCGCAACGAGCGCAACCCUUAUGUUUAGUUGCUACGCGAGAGCACUCUAGACGGACUGCCGUUGACAAAACGGAGGAAGGUGGGGACGACGUCAAAUCAUCAUGCCCCUUAUGUCCUGGGCUACACACGUACUACAAUGGCGGCCAUACAAAGCGAGGCAAGACAGUGAUGUGGAGCGAAUCGCAAAAAGCCGCCUCAGUUCGGAUUGCAAGCUGCAACCCGCCUGCAUGAAGUCGGAAUUGCUAGUAAUCGCGGAUCAGCAUGCCGCGGUGAAUACGUUCCCGGGCCUUGUACACACCGCCCGUCACACCAUGAGAGUCGGGAACACCCGAAGUCCGUAGCCUAACCGCAAGGGGGGCGCGGCCGAAGGUGGGUUCGAUGAUUGGGGUG
rnacentral:rRNA from 1 species